ACAGCAGUCGCCGCGGUAAUACAGAGGGUGCGAGCGUUAAUCGGAUUUACUGGGCGUAAAGCGUGCGUAGGCGGCUAAUUGAGUCGGAUGUGAAAUCCCCGAGCUUAACUUGGGAAUUGCAUUCGAUACUGGGAAGCUAGAGUAUGGGAGAGGAUGGUAGAAUUCCAGGUGUAGCGGUGAAAUGCGUAGAGAUCUGGAGGAAUACCGAUGGCGAAGGCAGCCAUCUGGCCUAAUACUGACGCUGAGGUACGAAAGCAUGGGGAGCAAACAGGAUUAGAUACCCGUGUAGUCCCUGUCUCUUAUAC
rnacentral:rRNA from 1 species